CAGGAAGCCCUUCCCGGCAGCGGGGUGGGGAGGUGCUGUGUCUAGAGGACCUGGAUGCUGAUAGCUUCCUUCUACCUGAGGUGACCUGGGAUUUAUGGUUCAAGAGCACACCCCAAGAGUAAACCCCAUGUGAGGGGUUUUGUGAUGAAGGCCCUGUUGCACAGGGUUCUAGAGCCGUCUGGACCUGAGGGCUGAGCGAUGCGGCCCGCUGCGUGAGCUCCGCCGGUCAGAACUUGGCCCAGCCCAUGGUACCACGGGGAAUGUCUGCAGACAGAACCUUGAACUGAAUGUGGGACACCGUAGCAGAACAUCAGGAAGGAAGGGGAGUCUUCCAACAAAGGAAGAUGGCGGGGAGUCUCUGCUCAUCAUGAUGACUUGGGGCUCGGCCUGAGAGAACAGCCACCAUCUUGAAACUUGCCAGUCUCACGCCAGAAGGAAAAUGAGCCCUGGAGGUUCUCACACCUGUCCCAGCUGCAAGUGACUCCCAUCAGUUCUACUCACAACUCACUGGCUAGAACAGUCACAUGGCCUCACCAACUAGCAGGAGUCUAACCGGAAGGUGAGGAGCUAGAAGAACGUGGGGAGCGGCGCUCCUGAGUACGACAGUAUACCUCCUGCCCGGCAGAGAGCCUGGUAGGAAGAAGCUGAUCAGCAAAUUUUUGAUGAAACAGUUUCCAGCCGAACCACUGUUCCCAGAAUAGCUGUUGCGAAGGCACCAAUGACUUCCAUAUUGCUCCACACGGUGGACACUUUUCAGUCCUUGUCUCCCUUGACCUUGCAUAUAACACCCAGAUUUCAUUCUUAAUACAUGUCUCUCGGCUUCAGGACACAACGCUUAUCUGAUAUUCUUCCUACCUCCUGAGUCACUGCUUCCCUCCUCCUUUGCAACUUUCCCCUCCUCCACCUGGCCUUACAUUUUGGAGCGUCCCAGGGCAUGGGCCUCUUGGCUCCUCACUAAACUUUGUUCUCAGAUGGGGCGCCUGGGUGGCUCAGUCGUUGAGUGUCUGCCUUCAGCUCAGGUCGUGAUCCUGGGGUCCUGGGAUUGAACCCCGCAUCGGGCACCCUGCUUGGUGGGAGUCUGCUUCUC